rnacentral:rRNA from 1 species
AUGGAAGGGAAGAAGCGCAGGCUGAGAGCGGAGACUCGGUGCUAUUGUGAGGCCCAUCUAACUGUGAAGGUUGACAGAGAGCGCUCCAUUUGGUAUGUCAGCAGUUUCAGUGAUGAUCAUAGUCACACUCUUGCUAGACCAGAUGAAGUUAUAUAUCUUCGAUCUCAUAAUCAGAUAAAGGAAUACCAGAAGCUCGAGAUCUUAGCAAUGGCAGGUGCUGGGCUCAAAAAACAUUGGAUUUAUGACAACUUCGUUAGUAGGUAUGGAUCAUAUGCACUGGCUGGUUUCGGGAGGAGGAAGCUUUAUAACAUGUGUUAUAGGGAGAAAAUGAAGUUGCUAGCAAAGGGUGAUGCGGACACUGCAAUUGGUAUCAUGAUGACGAGAAAGACAAGGGAUCCAGACUUUUUCUUUGAGCACACCGUCGACGCAGAAGGAAAGCUGAAGAACAUGUUCUGGUGUGAUUCUCAGUCACGUCGGGAUUACCUUGACUUUGGUGAUGUAAUCGUCUUCGACAUCACUUACAAGAUGAAUAGGUACGGAAUGCCAUUCAUACCUUUUGUUGGUCUAAACAAUCAUCGUUGCACCACUGUGUUCGGUUGUGCAGUUGUGUCAAAUGAGACGGAGGAUAUAUACGUUUGGGUGUUGCAUACCUUCUUAAGAGCUCAUUGUCAAAAGAAGCCGAGGUCUGUAAUUACUGACGGAGACGCAGCCAUGAUAAGGGCCAUCAGGAAGGUCCUUAUUGACGUGUGA